rnacentral:rRNA from 1 species
GACGUAGGGGGCCAGCGUUGUUCGGAAUUACUGGGUGUAAAGGGUUCGUAGGCGGUGUGGCAAGUUGGGAGUGAAAUCUCUGGGCUUAACCCAGAGGCUGCUUUCAAAACUGCCGUGCUCGAGUGCGAGAGAGGUCAGUGGAAUUGCAGGUGUAGCGGUGAAAUGCGUAGAUAUCUGCAGGAACACCCGUGGCGAAGGCGGCUGACUGGAUCGCAACUGACGCUGAGGAGCGAAAGCAUGGGUAGCAAACAGG